rnacentral:tRNA from 1 species
UUCUCGCUGGUAUAUCGGUAGAACACACCCCUGUCAUUACGAUAGGGCGGGUGAGAGCUGGGUUCGACUCCCAGGCGGGAAG